AUGAUGUAUUUUGUAUCUCUUUAUGAGACUUGUUGAUGCAAAGUGUUGGAUCCAUGAAGGUUAAUCAAUGAUUGCUAAGGUACGCAUUGUUUAAGUCUUAUGCUUGUAAAUCUUUUCAAUUUGAAUUAUGAUGUCGGUUUAGAGGAUGAAAUUUGACUACUAAAGUUUCCUUUGGACAUCGAAAUUGAAAUGAUAUGAAAUUGAAUUUGUUAUGGAUAUAUAAAUUCAUGAUAGAUGCACAUAAUUGUUUCUGGCAGAUUGCGUGUCUUGAUUUAAAUCGGGUGAAUGACAUGUCUAAUGAUCACCAAAUGACCUGAAUUUUGGAUAUGUUCAACAUAUAAAUGUCUACUAUGUGUCUGAAAAUUUUCGUAAUUUUCUGCCAUGUAUGUUAAUUAUGGUGAAUUUACUAGUAACCCAUGCUCGUAUAGACAGUUUUUACUGGCAGAUUGUGAUGUUUUUUGAGACGUGACUUUAGACUACUAUUUUGACCCAAAAUGGCUCUGUAUUUUUAUUUUAUGAAGAUUAGUAUGUCUAUUUUGAUCAGUAUAAAUUUUGUAGCAAUCAAGCAUAUAAAUUAAUUAUGAUUAAUUCUAAAGUGAGUGUACCUCGUUACUGAAAUUCUGUUUAACAACUUUGUGUUGGUUGUAAUAUCUAUUUUAUUAUGUCUAAAAUAUAAAGCAAUUUUAUUUAGGUACAUCUUUGAAAGAGUGUUUGCCCAAGUGGGAGAAUUAGUGAACGAAAAUUGGGCUUCACACUCAUUAACUUAUUUGCAAGUAUAAACUCUGAAAACUUAGUGGGAGUUGUUCUAAAAUUGUGAGCAUUAAGUGGACUUGCAUGAAUCUAUUAAAGCAUUAUUCUAUCUUCCAUGAAUUUGCGUUACUCGAAUGUCUAUAAUAUGUUUAAGUUGCACGAAUGUAUACUUGGUAUAUGCGUGCAUUUUUCUGUUACUGCCAAUCAUUUGGAUUUCUCAGUUGAUCAUUUGUUUUGGGGCUCAUAAGGACUUAGCAUAAAUGUGGACUUAUUAAUACAUAUAAGAUGGUUGUUGGAUACAUGUUUUGUGUAAACAGCAGUGAAUGCUUUCAAGCUUAGUGUACCUUUCAUUGAGGUAAUAUGCAUUCAUUGACUAAGUAAGGCUACUCCCAAAGGCAUAUUUUCAAAAGUAUGAUUUAAGUAUUGAUUUGCAAAUUAAGUAACGAUGUUGCAGAUCAGUGGGAGUUUGAGUUUUGUGUUAGUAAUGCCUUGCAGUUGCAGAUGACCUAUAAGGUAUGUAUAUAAUCCAUGUAUUCAUUUUAAUCUCCAGUUGGAUUCAUUAAGUCACAUUUUUCGUGUGCUAGUCAAUAAUCUGAUAAAAUAUAUAUCAGAUAUCAAGUUGUUAUCAAAUUGCAUAUUAAAUGGCAUGACAUGAUUUGUGCAUUGCCUCAGUUGUGAGGAUUUCCAUCUUGCCCGCAGGUGUUGGAAAUCACUAUGAAAGUAACUGAUAUGGUGCAUAGAUCAGUGUCAAAAACAUAUUAAUUCAUCUUGCUCACAAGUGUUGAAUUAAUUUGUUUUAUGAAGUUUUGGGAUAUUUUACUUGGACAUGUGCCUAUUUGGUAUUUUCAGUUGUGUCCGUUGGUUACAAACAUUGUUUGUAUUGUUAUCGGUCUAAUGAAACUGAUGCAUGAUUGUUUUGGAGAUGUAUUCACCCCUGCAGGUUAUAGUGGUUUCAUUAGAUGAAGGAUAUCUGCAUUGGCAGAUUUAAGGCUUCGAAGAAGCAUAAAGUGUAACUUGUGAGUUACAAUAAGGUGGACCUGAGAUGAUAUAAAGCUAACAGGAGCUGCAACCAUGCAAUGGAGUAUAGCAGGAGGCAGAGGACCUUUCUCUCCAUCUCAAUAGAUAGAGCUAGAACACCAGGUCUUGAUCUACAAAUACACCCAAUGUGCCUAUUUCGUCCACUCUGCUCAUCCCAAUCAAGAAGGCCCUUAAUUCUGCAGGAUUUUUGACAUUUUCUAACGGAAUUCUCAGGCCCAAUUCAUGUAAUUUCUUCAUUUUACUCAAAGGAAAAUGAUUUCUGCACACUUUUUUUUCUUAUGCACGUUUUUGCUUAUUUUGUUGUUUGAUUUUUGCUUGAUUUUAUUUAAUUCAAAGGCUAGAAAUAAAUCUAAAUUUUUCAUG